rnacentral:rRNA from 1 species
UACGUAGGGGGCGAGCGUUGUCCGGAAUUAUUGGGCGUAAAGAGCGUGUAGGCGGUUCGGUAAGUCUGCCGUGAAAACCUGAGGCUCAACCUCGGGCGUGCGGUGGAUACUGCCGGGCUAGAGGACGGUAGAGGCGAGUGGAAUUCCCGGUGUAGCGGUGAAAUGCGCAGAUAUCGGGAGGAACACCAGUAGCGAAGGCGGCUCGCUGGGCCGUUCCUGACGCUGAAGUGCGAAAGCUAGGGGAGCGAACGGG